rnacentral:tRNA from 1 species
GGUCCCAUCGUCUAGGGGCCUAGGACACCACCCUCUCAAGGUGGAGACACGGGUUCAAAUCCCGUUGGGACUA